rnacentral:rRNA from 1 species
AGUGAACGCUGGCGGUAGGCCUAACACAUGCAAGUCGAACGGCAGCACAGUAAGAGCUUGCUCUUACGGGUGGCGAGUGGCGGACGGGUGAGGAAUACAUCGGAAUCUACUUUUUCGUGGGGGAUAACGUAGGGAAACUUACGAUAAUACCGCAUACGACCUACGGGUGAAAGCAGGGGAUCUUCGGACCUUGCGCGAUUGAAUGAGCCGAUGUCGGAUUAGCUAGUUGGCGGGGUAAAUGCCCACCAAGGCGACGAUCCGUGGCUGGUCUGAGAGGAUGGUCAGCCACACGGGAACGUAGACACGGACCAGACGCCUACGGGAGGCAGCAGUGUGGAAUAUUGGACAAAGGGCGCAAGCCUGAUCCAGCCAUACCGCGUGGGUGAAGAAGGCCUUCGGGUUGUAAAGCCCUUUUGUUGGGAAAGAAAAGCAGCAGGUUAAUACCCCGCUGUUCUGACGGUACCCAAAGAAUAAGCACCGGCUAACUUCGUG